ACAAUGAUGAAAAUUUUGGUCCGUGUUUAUGAUAUUCUUUGAUUAUUUCUCUUAACCAUUACUGAAACAA